rnacentral:rRNA from 1 species
CCUACGGGAGGCAGCAGUGAGGAAUAUUGGUCAAUGGGCGCGAGCCUGAACCAGCCAAGUCGCGUGAAGGAGGACGGCCCUGCGGAUUGUAAACCUCUUUUGUCAGGGAAUAAAGUGAGGCACGUGUGCCUGUUUGUGUGUACUUUAUGAAAAAGGAUCGGCUAACUCCGUGCCAGCAGCCGCGGUAAUACGGAGGAUCCGAGCGUUAUCCGGAUUUAUUGGGUUUAAAGGGUGCGUAGAUGGUUUGUUAAGUCAGGGGGGAAAGCUUGCGGCUCAACCGUAAAAUGGCAAUUGAUACUGGCAGCCUUGAGUACAGGAGAGGGAGGCGGAAUGCGUGGUGUAGCGGUGAAAUGCUUAGAUAUCACGAAGAACUCCGAUUGCGAAGGCAGCCUGCUAGACUGCCACUGACGCUGAGGCUCGAAAGUGUGGGUAUCAAACAGGAUUAGAUACCCGUGUAGUC